rnacentral:rRNA from 1 species
UACGUAGGGUGCAAGCGUUUGUCCGGAAUUAUUGGGCGUAAAGAGCUCGUAGGCGGUCUGUCGCGUCUGCUGUGAAAACUCAGGGCUUAACCCUGAGCUUGCAGUGGGUACGGGCAGACUAGAGUGCGGUAGGGGAGACUGGAAUUCCGUGGUGUAGCGGUGAAAUGCGCAGAUAUCGAGGAGGAACACCGGUGGCGAAGGCGGGUCUCUGGGCCGUA